rnacentral:rRNA from 1 species
UCUGUUUGAUCCUGGCUCAGGAUGAACGCUAGCGGCAGGCUUAAUACAUGCAAGUCGAGGGGCAGCACGAAUAGCAAUAUUUGGUGGCGACCGGCGCACGGGUGCGUAACACGUAUACAACCUACCUAUAACAGGGGGAUAGCCUUUCGAAAGAGAGAUUAAUACCCCGUAAUAAAUUGAACGGCAUCGUUUGAUUUUGAAAGCUCCGGCGGUUAUAGAUGGGUAUGCGUCUGAUUAGCUAGUUGGUGAGGUAAUGGCUCACCAAGGCGACGAUCAGUAGGGGAUCUGAGAGGACUAACCCCCACACUGGUACUGAGACACGGACCAGACUCCUACGGGAGGCAGCAGUAAGGAAUAUUGGUCAAUGGAGGCAACUCUGAACCAGCCAUGCCGCGUGCAGGAUGACGGCCCUAUGGGUUGUAAACUGCUUUUGUACCAGAGAAAACCACCGUACGUGUACGGUGUUGAUAGUAUGGUAAGAAUAAGCAUCGGCUAACUUCGUGCCAGCAGCCGCGGUAAGACGAAGGAUGCAAGCGUUAUCCGGAUUCAUUGGGUUUAAAGGGUGCGUAGGCGGACUUGUAAGUCAGUGGUGAAAUCUCUCAGCUUAACUGAGAAACUGCCAUUGAUACUGCAGGUCUAGAGUAUAGAUGACGUUGGCGGAAUAUGACACGUAGUGGUGAAAUACUUAGAUAUGUCAUAGAACACCGAUUGCGAAGGCAGCUAACGAAACUAUAACUGACGCUGAGGCACGAAAGUGCGGGGAUCAAACAGGAUUAGAUACCCUGGUAGUCCGCACCGUAAACGAUGAUUACUCGUUGUUGGCGAUAUGACAGUCAGCGACCAAGCGAAAGCGAUAAGUAAUCCACCUGGGGAGUACGCCGGCAACGGUGAAACUCAAAUGAAUUGAGG